AUUGAACGCUGGCGGCAGGCCUAACACAUGCAAGUCGAGCGGAUGAGGGAGGCUUGCUUCCUGAUUUAGCGGCGGACGGGUGAGUAAUGCCUAGGAAUCUGCCUAUUUGUGGGGGAUAACGUUCCGAAAGGAACGCUAAUACCGCAUACGUCCUACGGGAGAAAGUGGGGGAUCUUCGGACCUCACGCUAAUAGAUGAGCCUAGGUCGGAUUAGCUAGUUGGUGGGGUAAUAGCCCACCAAGGCGACGAUCCGUAACUGGUCUGAGAGGAUGAUCAGUCACACUGGAACUGAGACACGGUCCAGACUCCUACGGGGGGCAGCAGUGGGGAAUAUUGGACAAUGGGCGAAAGCCUGAUCCAGCCAUGCCGCGUGUGUGAAGAAGGUCUUCGGAUUGUAAAGCACUUUAAGUCGGGAGGAAGGGCUGUAGGCUAAUACCUUGCAGUUUUGACGUUACCGACAGAAUAAGCACCGGCUAACUUCGUGCCAGCCGCCGCGGUAA
rnacentral:rRNA from 1 species